CAUUAAAAACCCUAAAAAUUUGUUUAAUAAAAAGACAUUUACACCAUUUUAGAUUCGUCUAAACAUAAAAUAGAUUGAAGAAUUUAGUUCUUGGUCCUACUAUAACGCACCCCUCCUGUCUUGUCUCUAUCAUCCUCUCCUUCUUUUCCUCUCUCCUCAUCUAUUUGUGCUUCUUGUAACACAUCUUUCUCACUUGCACAAUCAUGCAACCUUAGUUUUUUCCCUAUGAUUUUGCCUCAAAAUUAUCACCCAUUUUUGUGGGUACUUUUUAUUUUGCGUUAAGGUGGUGUUUUUGCUCAUAAUUUUUCUGGGCACCUUUAGUUUUUGGGUUGAGGUGGUGUUUUUGCUCAUAUUUUCACCCAUUUUUCUGGGUUAAGGUGAUGUUUUUGGCGCACCCAUUUUUCUGGGUACUUUUGAUUUUGGGUUAAAGUUGUGUUCUUGCUCAUAAUUUUUAUAGUUUAACUGAAUUUUAUCAUGGCUUUGAAGAAAGUUACUGAGAAUUUCUCGAAGAGUUUGAUUGAUGAGGUUCAUAAAUGGGGUUCUAUGAAACAAACAGGAGUAACUCUUAGGUAUAUGAUGGAAUUUGGGUCUAAACCAAUUGAUCGUAAUUUGUUGAUUUCUGCUCAAUUUCUUCAUAAAGAGCUUCCCAUUCGAAUUGCACGUAGAGCUAUUGAACUUGAGAGUCUUCCUUAUGGUUUGUCACUUAAACCUGCUGUUUUGAAGGUGCAUGAUUGGUAUGUAGAUUCUUUUCGGGAUCUUAGAUCAUUCCCUGACAUCAAGGAUAAAAAAGAUGAACUAGAGUUCACCCGAAUGAUUGAGAUGAUUAAAGUAAGACAUAAUAAUGUUGUCCCUAUGAUGGCCAUGGGGGUCCAACAGUUGAAGAAAGGCAUGGAUCCCAAGAUUGUUUAUGAAGAUUUGGUUGAAAUCCAUCAGUUCCUUGAUCGCUUUUAUAUGUCCAGAAUAGGGAUCCGUAUGCUCAUAGGGCAGCAUGUGGCCUUGCAUGAUCCAAAUCCUCCUCCUGAUCGUAUAGGCUACAUACAUACAAAAAUGUCUCCUCUAGAGGUUGCUAGAAAUGCUAGUGAGGAUGCUCGUGCAAUUUGCAUGCGUCAUUAUGGCAGUGCACCUGAAAUUGAUAUUUAUGGAGAUCUCAACUUUACAUUUCCGUAUGUACCUUCACAUUUACACAUUAUGGUUUUUGAGUUGGUGAAGAAUUCCUUGCGUGCUGUCCAAGAGCGCUUUAUGGAUUCAGACAAAGUAGCUCCUCCUAUUCGGAUUAUAGUAGCUGAUGGAAUAGAGGAUGUCACAAUUAAGUAUAGGUGUCAGAUGAAGGGGGUGGAAUUCGAAGAAGUGGUCUCCCUAGGAUUUUCACAUACCUGUAUAGUACUGCUGAAAACCCAUUGAGUGAAGACACUGAUCUUGGAACUGGUGAAAAUGUAACUAUGGCUGGAUAUGGAUAUGGGCUUCCCAUAAGUCGAUUAUAUGCCCGUUAUUUUGGAGGUGACCUGCAAAUUAUCUCAAUGGAAGGAUAUGGUACAGAUGCCUAUCUUCAUUUGUCUCGGUUGGGAGGUUCUCAAGAACCUCUGCCAUAAUAGCACAGCUGAUUUUUAAAUUGUAUUUAAAGUUGUAAUGAUCUUCUCAUUAAGAUGAUGAUUAUGAGAUAUAAGCAUGUAUUACUAUGGAUGCUUUAGAUUUAUAUGAUGUAUGUAUUGUUGUUCUUGUAA